rnacentral:lncRNA from 1 species
UAGUCUAAAGGUUCUCUCACUAUUUUUAACAAAUUGAUAACCUCUAUCUCCAAUUCAAAGAAUUACAUUAAUUUCUUAACGAAUACUAUAAUCCACACAGACUAUAUUUGAGCCCAAGUGUGGCUCGACCAACCCUAGUCAUCCAUAGAUAGGUUCAUAAUUAGUUAUUUCUCUAAACAACUUCUAGCAAUUAGGUUUUGCCCCC